rnacentral:rRNA from 1 species
UACGGAGGGUGCAAGCGUUAUUCGGAAUUACUGGGCGUAAAGCGCGUGUAGGCGGGAAGGUAAGUCUGAUGUGAAAGCCCCGGGCUUAACCUGGGAAGUGCAUUGGAUACUGCUUUUCUUGAGUUCUGGAGAGGAUGGGGGAAUUCCCGGUGUAGAGGUGAAAUUCGUAGAGAUCGGGAGGAAUAUCAGUGGCGAAGGCGCCCAUCUGGACAGUGACUGACGCUGAGACGCGAAAGCGUGGGGAGCAAACAGG